UACAGAGGUCUCAAGCGUUGUUCGGAUUCAUUGGGCGUAAAGGGUGCGUAGGCGGCGCGGUAAGUCGGGUGUGAAAUUUCGGAGCUUAACUCCGAAACUGCAUUCGAUACUGCCGUGCUUGAGGACUGGAGAGGAGACUGGAAUUUACGGUGUAGCAGUGAAAUGCGUAGAGAUCGUAAGGAAGACCAGUGGCGAAGGCGGGACUCUGGACAGUUCCUGACACUGAGGCACGAAGGCCAGGGGAGCAAACGGG
rnacentral:rRNA from 1 species